rnacentral:tRNA from 1 species
GCGGGUAUAGCUCAGUGGUAGAGCAUUACCUUGCCAAGGUAAGGGUCGUGGGUUCGAAUCCCAUUGCCCGCUCCA